AACAGGAUUAGAUACCCUGGUAGUCCACGCCCUAAACGAUGUCUACUAGUUGUUGGGUCUUAAUUGACUUAGUAACGCAGCUAACGCGUGAAGUAGACCGCCUGGGGAGUACGGUCGCAAGAUUAAAACUCAAAGGAAUUGACGGGGACCCGCACAAGCGGUGGAUGAUGUGGAUUAAUUCGAUGCAACGCGAAAAACCUUACCUACCCUUGACAUGUACGGAAUCCCGGAGAGAUCUGGGAGUGCUCGAAAGAGAACCGUAACACAGGUGCUGCAUGGCUGUCGUCAGCUCGUGUCGUGAGAUGUUGGGUUAAGUCCCGCAACGAGCGCAACCCUUGUCAUUAGUUGCUACGAAAGAGCACUCUAAUGAGACUGCCGGUGACAAACCGGAGGAAGGUGGGGAUGACGUCAAGUCCUCAUGGCCCUUAUGGGUAGGGCUUCACACGUCAUACAAUGGUACAUACAGAGGGCCGCCAACCCGCGAGGGGGAGCUAAUCCCAGAAAGUGUAUCGUAGUCCGGAUUGUAGUCUGCAACUCGACUACAUGAAGUUGGAAUCGCUAGUAAUCGCGGAUCAGCAUGUCGCGGUGAAUACGUUCCCGGGUCUUGUACACACCGCCCGUCACACCAUGGGAGCGGGUUUUACCAGAAGUAGGUAGCUUAACCGCAAGGGGGGCGCUUACCACGGUAGGAUUCGUGACUGGGGUGAAGUCGUAACAAGGUAACC
rnacentral:rRNA from 1 species